GGUCUAAUUUUUUAUAUUUUUAAAUAUAAAAAUUCAGUUUGACCAGGAAUUAAACUGAAGGAUUCCAAUUCAAUUUGAAUUCGCUUCAUUCACGAUUUGAGUCAAACACGGAUUUGAUCGGUUUUGAUUCUAAACCAACCCAUGACCAGGUUUAAGUCAUGGAACUGCCACCAAGUGCUCUCAUCUAUUCUACAGGUUCCAUGCUUUUUUUUCCCCCUAUUUUGUAUUUUUGUGUUGUUGGACUUCUAAUGUAUUGGGUACAAAUAGUCAAAUACAUUAUAUAUUAUUCAGUACUAUAGGCCUAGAAAGAAUUAAAAAAGUGUUAGUAAUAGAAGUAGUUGUCUUCUGCUUGCACCAUUAUUUUUAGAACACACCACAUCUCUUCCAGAAUUUUUGGUUUGUGCUUGUUGUGGCCUUACCUUAGCCAAUUGUAAUUUGUUUUUCACAUGUUCUAUUUUGGAGCUGUUAAAAUCUUAUGAAUCCUUCACCGUACGCCUGCAAACUGAAAAGCAUACACACUCGAAAAACUUCCUUUCAGAGCUGCUGCGAGUAAUAUCUGGUCUUUGAGUAUUGUAUGUGAGAGAUGGAUGCACCAUCUCUGCUCCCUGCUGAUCAUCCAUAACUUUCUUGCCAUUGUGAACAAUAGUAACCUGACAAUAGUCUGGAGCAUGCUUCUUGAUAAAUUUUGCUUUUGCCAAUUUUUUCUCCAGUAACCUGGGGCAAGGCAGGCCUGUAGUUCCCAUGACAAGAUUGGU
rnacentral:misc_RNA from 1 species